UUUUUUUUUUUUUUUUUUGUCAGUAACGAUACAUUUGUAUAAUCUAUUCUAUCCUAAUCUAGGGGGCCUAAGAAAACUGUUGUAAGGGCUAGUAGGUAUACAGACCCAACUAGAUCAAGAGAAUGUUAUGGCAUAACUCUUAGAUUUUUUUCACUAUAAACCCUCACCUACAGCCUAAGGAGGGACUUAAACCCCUCUCUGGUGGUCACUGGCCAUUGGCCCAGUGGUUGAGUAGUAGGGUAUUUAGAAAUGUACAAUUUGCAAGUUUACAGGAAUCUCACCUUUUAUAGAAACAGAUCUCACCCACUGCAGAGCAAGCAAGUAUUGAAUAUUUCUUUUGGAGUUUUUUUUUAUACUCAAUAGGCUGUUGAGAAGAAAGGACCUGCACCCCCCAUUUGCGUUUCGUUUUGAAAGAUUCAAGGCAAGAAAUUUUUAUUGUUUUUGGACUAUUUAUCCUCAUAUUUCUGGGAAGGACCCUGCAUCCGCACCUGGGCUCUGUUUUUUUUGUGAUUUGAGACAUUUUGAUGAUUUUACCGUCCAAAGCGUGUAGAAUAAAAAUUUAUUCCACUUCUUACCAUGAUGCAACCAUUGAGUAGGAAAAAUAAAUAAGGACUUUAAGUUAAACAGAAAUUUCCGACGUCACAAAACUGAUUCCGUUAAUAUGCUUAUAUUUUAACGUAAAGUUAUGGAUUUCCACACAAUUUUUCUUAAAUUAAAAUUUUCUUUAUAACUCCACACACUUUUAAUGUAAAGUUAUGAUUAAUGUGCUAAUAUGCACCAUUAUAUUGGAUUUAUUUCCAAACAAUGUAUUAUCAUAGUUACAGAAAAUGUACACAAAGUAAGUGACAAUGAAUUAUGUCUAUAUAUAAAGCCAUCAAAUUCGAACCAUCCUGAUGCUAGAACAUAUGAAAAAGAAAACCUGAUAAACUCACACUUCUGAAGACCAAGAGUUCGAGUUAUUUAGCAAAUUGUAGGAUAAAUUAGAUAUAACUCCCCUGAUGCAAGAACAUAUGAAAAAGAAAAGUAGAUAAACUGCACUUUUGAAAACCAAGAGUUUGAGUUAUUUAGCAAAUUGUAGGGUAAAUUACAUAUAACUCCCUUAUAGUUUUGCACAAUGUCAGAUAAUCCAUCUAAGGUAUCAAAAUAGUCACGUAACCCCCUAUGAUUUUAUAUAAAGCGGAAAAUGGACGAAAUGCAUAAUCAGUUACAGCGAUUAGACCACACUUGCUUUAAAAAUGUGUAUGAUAAAAUAUUACACUGUUCACUUAACUCUUUUAUGAUUUGCAUAAAUAUCUAUUUUAUCCCCUCAUGAUAUUCGUAUUUAUCCACGUAAUCCCCCUAUAAUUUUAUACAAGGUGAAUAAUUCGUUGUUUGAUUUAACAUUUAAAUAAGGACACUACUAGUACUAUGCCCUCGGGGUAAUUUUGGUAUUCAAGUUAUUAUAGAACAUAGGCUUUGGAUCUUUAUGUCAUCUUUAACCAAAAAAAGGGACAAGUGUGGAGUACCUAAAGCUUUUCUGAAGUCCAAAUAUCAUUUGCUUUUUCCAAAUUAACCUCAACUUAGUAAUUAAGUGACAAUGAAGUUUUUACAUUUCAAUACGGUUUCUUAAGCAAUGUACUGAGUAACAUAAUUACUUGGGUAUAUGAUGACAAGCAUAUUGCCUUGCCCCCACGUAAAUGUUAAUUUUUUUUUUCUACUGCAAGAUUUAGAGGAAAUAAAGUCUUCUAUUAAGCUGAAAUACUACUUGAUUGUGUUUGGAUAAAAAUAUAUCGUAGUUAAUUUAGAUAGGAGCUUACAACAUCGCAAUAAUAAUUUCUUUAGCACGAGUAAUGAGUUGCUUGCUUAGUAAAAGGGCAAAAUACACAAGUGAUAAGUUUCUCAAUACAAAUUAUCUGAACAAAAAAAAAAAAAAAAAGAAAAUUCCCUCGAAAAAGUUGAAGGUAGCACGGCAUUAUCAAAUUGUCAUCCAUGAUCCAUCCACUAUAAUAAGGGUAUAUGGAGGCAUAUCAAAGUGGUGGGCUCACUGCUUCCGAACCUUUACAAUUGCCGCAUACCUUUCCCUCACAAUUGGGCAUUGGUUCCAGGGAAGAAUUUGAUUCGUGUCCCUGUUUUCUUCGAGAAGAAUUAUGCUCUUUCCUUGUCUUUACUUUCUCAUUUGACUAAAAGUUAAUCUCUCGAGCAUAUGGGCCGAGCAAUGACUUUGCCGAGGAUAGGGAUAAAUGAGCUCCAACGACAGGCUAAGAGUCAAAAAGUUAAAGAGGAAGAACGAUGUCGUGAAUAUACUUUUGGUCGCAUAUUUAACAAAUCACCGCUGAAAAGCCUAUAAAAAUUAUCUUACAUGGUGUUUUUAAGCUUCAAAUGAAAAUUGAUAAGUUUAUAACUAAAAUUUAUAAGAUCUAUUCUGAUGAAAUUAGCAUAGGAGCAUAAGCGUUGCACAUAGUGGGCAUUCUUUAGGAAUACGUACUAAGAUAUAAUUUUUUUUAAAAUUAAGUAAAAAGAACAGAAAUUUAACUAUUUAAAUUUCAUAUUGCUAUCAAUUUUCUCCUCCCACAAAACAUAUAAAUCAUUUGUUUAACAAAACCUUAUCGAUGGUACGUCUUAGUAGCAAAGUAUAGAAAUGGGUUAGCUAUAUUGUCAAAACAAUUAUGUUCUUGCCAGAGCAAUUUCACUCUAAAUAAUAGUAAUGCCCUCACAGAUCAAGAGUAAUCAUGUUUUGUAUUGUAAAGAUCCACCGAAUAAACACAAGCGCCAAAAUUGAAAACCAAUCUAAAGUGGGACUUGGCUCAUCUCUAGUUGAUUCUCUCUCCAUUUUCUGCAGUACUCAUCUAGAUGUAUGACAGGCAUUUUCAUUUAUUAACAAGAGUUAGAAUUAGUUAAAUUUAAAUUGAUCAUGUCCUUUUUUAGUAAUUGAAAACAUGUGUCAUACAUCUAAAUGUGCAUUAUACGAAAUGAAGAGAGAAUUCAUUAGAGAGAACCCAAAUCCGUCUAAAAAAUCAUAAUCUCAACCUUUGGAAGUUCUGUAAAAAGAUAACAUACUCAUUUAUAGUCUUGAUAUACUAGCACAAAGUGUUAUAGUCUUGAUUCGCAAUAAAUAGAAGGCGAAUUUACCCUAAAGAGAAGCAAAAAAUAGACUACGAGUUGAAGCCCAUUCUCAUCAAUUCAUCACAAAUAUUCAGAACAAAUCAUAGUUGAGAUUAGAAACUAGAGAAAUGCAUCCGUGAAACAGUUGCUAAAAUUUGGGCCUUACAAGAUCAAUACAAUGUGGGUUGAGGUGAGAGAGAGUCCAAAAUAUCCCAUAAACAUUAAGGGUCUGUUUGGUUGGAAGUAAAAUGUUUUCCUUGGGAAAAUAUUUUCCGUAGAAGUAAUUUUCCAUGAAAAUCAUUUCCCUUUCAUCAUUUUCAGGUGUUUGGUUAGCUUAUUGAAAAUAUUUUCUUACUUCAUUUUUCUGGUGUUUGUUUAACUUUUGAAAUAUUUUCACUUUUAUCUCUAUCUUUACUUUCUACACAUUAUAACUACAUACUUCUUCCCAUGCAAAAUAAAAAAAUUUAUCUCAUUGUUUAACUUUAAAAAAUCUUGGAGAAAUGUAUAUAUGAAUAAAAAAUAUUUCCUUAAGCAAUAAACAAAUUGCUGGCUAUUUAGUGUCAAAUAUCAAUCACAUGCAAUACUUAUUGUGACAUAUAUCUUGCACUCUCACUGCUGAAAGUUUCUCUAGAAAAGAAUGUCCCUAUUAUACGUUAUUAAUUACUAGCAUAGGAUGAGCAGGAUGAGGUUUUUUUAUUUUUAUUUUGAAUAUACUAGGGGGAGGGUUGGGUUGGGUUGGGUGGUACGGGGGAGGGAGUGUAAGGAAGAGAUCUUGGGUGGGUUCGAGUCCUCAUGUUUACACUAAAAAAAAAAACCAUACUACAAGAUGUUUUCAGUAAGUUUGGAACAUACUACAGGCGGGAUGCAUGCAUUUCCAAAAACAACUUCAGUAAGUUUGGAAGGGAAGUUGUUUUCCAUAAGAUGAGUGAAAAUAUUUUACAUAGGAAAAUGUUUUCAGUAACUUCUGUGCAACCAAACACGGGAAAUUAGGAAAAUAUUUUCCCGGAAAACAUUUUCACCCGAAACAAACGGACCCUAAAUGAGUCUAUUUUUCAGCUUGAGAGGAGCAUAUGGGCUUACUGUUUGUUUUGAUAGUUUCAACGUUUAAUCGUUUAUGUUUUUACUUUGUUUUAGGCCCGAUGUUGGCAAAAUGUGAUUCCUAUUUUAUCCAAUUAAAUUUCAUUCAUGUAUUUAGAAAGAGUGAGAUUACUUUUUUGGUUCUUCGCAUCACAAUGUGCUCGUGCAAGCAUUACAGGCAACUACUGAAGUACAAAAAAGCUACCAAAUGGUAAAUAUAAUUAAACUUGCUUAAAAAAAAUGAAAAGCAUGAUUAUUUCUACAAGCCAAUUGAUGGUGAUGACAAAACAUACCAGAUAUUGCACCAGCUGAUGCCCUUCAAUCUAUGAUGAUGAUCUUCAGAUUCUCGUUUCCAUUAUUAUAUUCCUGUGCUGCUUCAAUUUCCCGUACUAAAGAUUUGACGCCAUCUCCGCAAGAACUCACCUUAAUUUCUUCAAGAGUAGAUAUACUCUCUAAACAAGCAGGCAUCAUUUUCAAAUUAGAAAUAUCGUGGAGCUUUAAUUGCUGAAGGCACGGGAAGUAAUCAUCACUGUCAGGGUCUGCCUCUGUCCACUCCGCAACUUUUACACAUUCCAAAGUCAAGACCCUGAGUUUAGGGAAUCCUCCUUCCAUCAGCUCCCAUUUUUGGCCCUCCAUUGACCGCCAUCUUAAUUUUAGGACUUCAAGGUUGGGUAGUCGUUCAAUCAAUGACAUUUUACUACAGGGAAGACCCAGAUCGUAAAGACACAACUUCUUCAAAUUCAUGGGAAGGGGAGGCUCAACAUGUUCCCAUGAACCUGAGGAGUAAUUGCCCCGCCAGGUGAGUGAAUCUAGGCAUUCUAGUCGGCUCAUGUUCAACACUCCAUUUCCAGUCUGACGAUCGGAAAUUUUAAGUCGGCGAACGUUGGGAAUCCUUCUCAAUAAGUUCUCUCCCUCUUCAUAAAGACGCAAACAAGAGAGUGUGUCUAAAUUGGGUAAAGUGGAGAGGUUUUCAACACCGUUGUCAUUGG
rnacentral:lncRNA from 1 species